UCAAGAGAGUAGUUUAACUAGAAUAAUAAUUUUGGGGAUUAUAGGUCUUUACUAAUAGAGCUUCUUGAU
rnacentral:tRNA from 1 species